UACAGAGGGGGCGAGCGUUGUUCGGAAUUACUGGGCGUAAAGGGCGCGUAGGCGGCCUGUUAAGUCGAACGUGAAAUCCCCGGGCUCAACCCGGGAACUGCGUCCGAUACUGGCAGGCUUGAAUCCGGGAGAGGGAUGCGGAAUUCCAGGUGUAGCGGUGAAAUGCGUAGAUAUCUGGAGGAACACCGGUGGCGAAGGCGGGUCUCUGGGCCGAUACUGACGCUGAGGAGCGAAAGCGUGGGGAGCGAACAGG
rnacentral:rRNA from 1 species